ACUUCAAACAUUUUCCACAGCUGAAGUUAAAAGGAAAGUAAGCAAAUUCUCAAAACAAAAUACUACAGAUAAGAGCAGAAUGUAACGUAUAUGAACAGUUGGUACUUUUGGCUGUUCAGCACAACAUAGAUCUAGAACUGACACUUUCUUUUCCUCUAGGACCUGUCACCUGGCCGUUAUAGCUACUGCGACUGGAAUUCCAAUGAAAAUAGACACGUCAAAUCUAUUUCACUAUGUAGAGGCUGCAGCCAUCCAAGAAGAUGACAUUGUUUUGUUGAUUGACAGUAACACCCUGCUGCAAAACUUAGUAACCAUCCUUGCAACAUUCCAAGGCGUAGCCGAAGCUGUGUUCAGUCAACUACCUAAGACAGCUCGAGUCGAUUUUGUAACUGACACUUACAGUCCUCGGGACUGAAAAGCAUUCAAGUCAAAUAGUGAAAACAGAACACAGUGAUCAAUCUAAUUUUUGAACAAUGAAAAUGUGAUUCCUAUGCGCCAAAGAUGAAGAGAAGACAACUGUAUUUUUUAAUGGUGAAAAGUGUUAUUUACUCACAAGUGAAGAUGGGAACAAAGAUGGGAACAAAGUUCAAGCUCAAUCAAAGUUAGAUCCCUAGAUAGACGCGUUUGUGUUAUUGGGGAUAUCUUCAAAAACACAAAAUACUGUUUUAUUUCACACUGGAACAGACAAUAAGAGACGCCAUUUAAAUACUCACAACAUCUUUAUAAGCAAAGGACAAAGAAUCUGCUCAAUUUCGCCUGCAAUACACCAUCUGACUGGUUGACAUAACCGGUGCUCGCACAGGAAAAGUAACACCGCUCAAAUUAGUAGAGAAAAACCAGGUGUAAGUUGCAACAUUAGCAGAAGUAGUUCAUACACAUCACUGUUCAGAUGACCUCUAUCAAGUACGUGCUGGCAAUGUCCCGAGUACAUAUAAUGGUAUGGACAUGAGUCUAUUAUCACUGUGCUAAUUGUCACUUAGAAUGCACAUAACACGUGUGAACUAUCUACUUAACCAGUUCUACCAAAAGCAGAUGAAAGUGGAUAGAAAUUUGGAUCAUUUGGAAUAUGGCUGGUGUUCCGAUAAUAUAGUACUUCAAGAAAUAGCUGAAAUUAUUUGUGACACAUCAGCAACAUGUGACUCUGAUGAUGACUAUGAAGAAGUAGAGAUGACCAAUAUAAUUGACACCAUAUACAAAACAGACAGUGAUUAUGAUGACUUAGAGAAAUUAUGAGGCAGAGCUAUCAGCAGUAUGCCAGAGACACAGCAAGAAGUACACAUUGUUUUGCACAGAUUUGUGUUCCACAUGUAUGGCCUUGAUGGAAUUGUCAUAGUAUAAGAGAACAUGAUGAUUUGUUGGUGAAUACGGAUUGAAAAUUAUAAGUUUGAAAAUGAAAUAGAGUAGAACAGUGUUUGUGGUCCUAUAAACCAGUGAAACCUAAAAAAGGUUAUUCCAUAACUCCGCAUAAUGCUGGAGAGAUGGUAUGGUACCAUGAGAAUCCAAAACUAUGCACUAUUGUAUUCCAUCAUCUCGAGACGCUGGUAGAAAUGUUGAGGGCUAUAUUUAGACAUGACUUCAAGGAAGUCGUCAGCUAAGUAGACGCUCUUGGACAGAUGGCAGGUCUAUCCGAGGGGCGAUUUGAAAGUUUGAAGGAGGAGUUCUUAUAGCGAGGGUUGGUGACAAAUGAGUUGUUAAGUUACUCACGGUCUCCAACAUUUCAGUCUUAGUCUGGAAUCACAGGAAAUUUUUAUGGACUUGAUGCUGAAGUUUGAUCUCUGCUAUCAGGUGAAGAAUCCUACAAGUGCGCCAGGAACUUUGGGUUCAAAACAAAUUCUCCAGUUUCCAUGGUUCCUUACAUUUACUCCGCCUGAAGAUUUUGCCACAAGAUGGCCAGAAAUGGAUUAUUGUCAGACCUUGUAAUGGCACGGAUUGCAGCUAAGUUAGGGUUUUAGCAGAACAGAAUGGCAUUAGAGCUCAGACUGACCCAGGCUAAUAUAGAACAAAUCCAGAUCAGCCAUAAAUAUGAGGGAGCUCACAAAAUGAUACUUAGCACCCUGCUUAAGUACUGAUGAAGAGAAGAUUGAGAUUCUGAUGCAAGUUAUAUGAGAUAGCGACUGGAAUGAUCUGGCUGAUGAAUUAAUGGCUCAGUAUAUACAUGAAAACACAUCAGUCAGUAAGAUGAAUCAGAGUGAAAUAUAUAACAGGAUAGCAGCUGGGAGAUUUGCCCUUCUAAAUAGCAACAGCAGUGAUAGUGGUACAUACUGUCGACACAGGGAUCUGUGGGUAAAGAAUUCCAUGUGUUGGUAGAAACUUACAAUGAAACCACCAAUCACCAACACUCCCUAGACCAGAGCAAACUAUUGAGUGACUUAGGCAGAAGCUGCAGUUCCCGGCAUAUUAUGCUGUAGAGUAGCUGCUCUUAUUGCCGAUCUGGUUGUUGUAGCCAAAGCUCAGGUUUCUUGCAGCAGCCCUUAUCCACCUGGUCUUCGUUUACAUUUGAACUACAUCCAGGAUUUGUCACAGCUCUAGAAGGAAGAAGGACUACAUAUCUGUGGAAGAAUCAGAAAACUACUCCAGACUUGUUACCUUGACAGACGUUUAUUGGAAAUUUGAACGAUGACUGAAUACUUUGAUGAGUAG
rnacentral:lncRNA from 1 species